rfam:Daphnia pulex DAPPTscaffold_122_Cont5051, whole genome shotgun sequence.
GUAUUCCAUACGGAAUACAUAUAUUAAAAUUGGAACGAUACAGAGAAGACUAGCAUGGCCCCUGCGCAAAGGCUG